AACGAACGCUGGCGGCAGGCCUAACACAUGCAAGUCGAACGCACCGCAAGGUGAGUGGCGCACGGGUGAGUAACACGUGGGAAUGUACCCUUCGGUUCGGAAUAACGUUUGGAAACGAACGUUAAUACCGGAUGAGCCCUACGGGGGAAAGAUUUAUCGCCAAAGGAGCAGCCCGCGUCUGAUUAGGUAGUUGGUGGGGUAAAGGCCUACCAAGCCGACGAUCAGUAGCUGGUCUGAGAGGAUGAUCAGCCACACUGGGACUGAGACACGGCCCAGACUCCUACGGGAGGCAGCAGUGGGGAAUAUUGGACAAUGGGCGCAAGCCUGAUCCAGCCAUGCCGCGUGAGUGAUGAAGGCCUUCGGGUUGUAAAGCUCUUUCGCACACGACGAUGAUGACGGUAGUGUGAGAAGAAGCCCCGGCUAACUUCGUGCCAGCCGCCGCCGUAA
rnacentral:rRNA from 1 species